rnacentral:rRNA from 1 species
AACGAACGCUGGCGGCAUGCCUAACACAUGCAAGUCGAACGAAGCCUUCGGGCUUAGUGGCGCACGGGUGCGUAACGCGUGGGAAUCUGCCCUUUGGUUCGGAAUAACAGUUGGAAACGACUGCUAAUACCGGAUGAUGACGAAAGUCCAAAGAUUUAUCGCCAGAGGAUGAGCCCGCGUAGGAUUAGCUAGUUGGUGUGGUAAAGGCGCACCAAGGCGACGAUCCUUAGCUGGUCUGAGAGGAUGGUCAGCCACACUGGGACUGAGACACGGCCCAGACUCCUACGGGAGGCAGCAGUGGGGAAUAUUGGACAAUGGGCGAAAGCCUGAUCCAGCAAUGCCGCGUGAGUGAUGAAGGCCCUAAGGUUGUAAAGCUCUUUUACCCGGGAUGAUAAUGACAGUACCGGGAGAAUAGGCCCCGGCUAACUCCGUGCCAGCCGCCGCUGUAA